rnacentral:rRNA from 1 species
UACGGAGGGUGCAAGCGUUAUCCGGAUUUACUGGGUUUAAAGGGUGCGUAGGCGGGCUUUUAAGUCAGCGGUGAAAGCUUCGGGCUUAACUCGAAAAUUGCCGUUGAUACUAUUAGUCUUGAAUUAAGUUGAGGUGGGCGGAAUAUGUCAUGUAGCGGUGAAAUGCUUAGAUAUGACAUAGAACACCGAUUGCGAAGGCAGCUCGCUAAACUUAUAUUGACGCUGAGGCACGAAAGCGUGGGGAUCAAACAGG